CCUACGGGUGGCAGCAGUGGGGAAUAUUGCACAAUGGGGGAAACCCUGAUGCAGCGACGCCGCGUGAGUGAAGAAGUAAUUCGUUACGUAAAGCUCUAUCAGCAGGGAAGAAAUACUGACCUUACGGUCAGCAGACGGUAACUGAGUAAGAAGCCCCGGCUAACUACGUGCCAGCAGCCGCGGUAAUACGUAGGGGGCAAGCGUUUUCGGAUUUACUGGGGGUUAAGGGGGCGUAGACGGUGCGCCAAGGCUGGAGUGAAAUUGCGCAGCUUAACUGCGGAACUGCUUUGGAAACCGGCGAACUAGAGUGCGGGAGGGGUAAGCGGAAUUCCUAGUGUAGCGGUGAAAUGCGUAGAUAGUAGGAGGAACACCGGUGGCGAAGGCGGCUUACUGGACCGUAACUGACGUUGAGGCUCGAAAGCGUGGGGAGCAAACAGGAUUAGAUACCCCUGUAGUC
rnacentral:rRNA from 1 species